CGGGUGCGUAACACGUGGGCAAUCUGCCCUGCACUCUGGGACAAGCCCUGGAAACGGGGUCUAAUACCGGAUACGACACAGGAAGGCAUCUUCUCUGUGUGGAAAGCUCCGGCGGUGCAGGAUGAGCCCGCGGCCUAUCAGCUUGUUGGUGGGGUGAUGGCCUACCAAGGCGACGACGGGUAGCCGGCCUGAGAGGGCGACCGGCCACACUGGGACUGAGACACGGCCCAGACUCCUACGGGAGGCAGCAGUGGGGAAUAUUGCACAAUGGGCGAAAGCCUGAUGCAGCGACGCCGCGUGAGGGAUGACGGCCUUCGGGUUGUAAACCUCUUUCAGCAGGGAAGAAGCGCAAGUGACGGUACCUGCAGAAGAAGCACCGGCUAACUACGUGCCAGCAGCCGCGGUAAUACGUAGGGUGCGAGCGUUGUCCGGAAUUAUUGGGCGUAAAGAGCUCGUAGGCGGCUUGUCACGUCGGAUGUGAAAGCCCGGGGCUUAACCCCGGGUCUGCAUUCGAUACGGGCAGGCUAGAGUUCGGUAGGGGAGAUCGGAAUUCCUGGUGUAGCGGUGAAAUGCGCAGAUAUCAGGAGGAACACCGGUGGCGAAGGCGGAUCUCUGGGCCGAUACUGACGCUGAGGAGCGAAAGCGUGGGGAGCGAACAGGAUUAGAUACCCUGGUAGUCCACGCCGUAAACGUUGGGAACUAGGUGUGGGCGACAUUCCACGUCGUCCGUGCCGCAGCUAACGCAUUAAGUUCCCCGCCUGGGGAGUACGGCCGCAAGGCUAAAACUCAAAGGAAUUGACGGGGGGCCCGCA
rnacentral:rRNA from 1 species